CCGAGGGGGGGGCCCCUUUUCCCCCACGGGGGGGUGGGGCCCCGGAUCUUCCCACCCAUGUUGACCGUACCACGUUGCUUCGGCGGGGACGCCUGCCGGAGGGGUUCCGAAUUAACCGCUGUUCUGUCUCAAGGAUGUGUCUGAGUCGGGCUGGAUGACACCGGCCAAAUCGAAGCGAACA
rnacentral:misc_RNA from 1 species